UUCAUGGAUAUUAUAAGCUAAUUGUUUGCAAAACUCUUUGAAUAGUAUUGUGUCCACAUGCUAAAUACUGUUUUCUCCCUUUCAGCAAUAUAACAAGGAAUGGACAGAGGAGUUGACUAUGGAUAAUGACUGAUACUGGAAUAAAGGAACCUAUAUGCAGUGUCAAAUGAUUCCAUGCCUGACAGUCCAUUUUUAUAUGUACAUAAAAUGUAUGUUGACAGCCAAUGGUAAGUAUUAAUCUUCAUCAUACAUGUACAAAUGUAUAUACAAUGAUUGUAUGUGCAUCUCUGACACUUACAUUUUGCUGUUGUGUGGCUUCAUUUCUGACCAGAGACUGAUAAUAAUUAGAUUAUCCUUUAUUUUAUCUUCAAAUAUUAUGUACUACACACCUACUUUUGCAUAGGUACUAUAUCUGUACUAAAAUAUGUAGUACUGGAAAUUUACUUUAAUUAGUAUUUAUGCAAAAGUAGCUGUGUAGUAACUACAUAGAUGUACUUAAUGACUUGCAUUCAUUUAACUUGCAAUAAUUAUGAUGCAGCAUCCAACAAAAAGUGAGCUUUUCUCAUCACUUGGCGUCCGUCGUCUGUAAACUUUUACAAAAAUCUUCUCCUCUGAAACUACUGGGCCAAAUUUAACCAAACUUGACCACAAUUAUCAUUGGGGUAUCUAGUUUAAAAAAUGUGUCCAAUGACCCAGCCAACCAACCAAGAUGGCCACCAUGGCUAAAAAUAGAACAUGGGGGUAAAAUGUAGAUUUUGGCUGAUAUCUCUGAAUCCAAAGCCUUUAGAGCAAAUCUGACAUGAGGUAAGUUUGUUUAUAAGGUUAAGAUCUAUCUGCCCUGAAAUUUUCAGAUGAAUCGGACAACUGGUUGUUUGGUUGCUGCCCCUAAAUUGGUAAUUUUGAGGAAAUUUUGCCAUUUUUGGUUAUUAUUUUGAAUAUUAUUAUAUAGUGAUAAACUGUAAACAGCAAUAAUGUUCAGCAAAGUAAGAUAUACAAAUAAGUCAACAUGACAAAAAUGACCAUCAAUUGACUCCUUAAGGAGUUAUUGCCCUUUAUAGUCAAUUUUUAACAAUUUACAUUAAUUUGGUAAACUUGUGUAAAUUUUUUAAAAAUAUUUUCCUCUGUAACUAAACAUUGCUAAGAGCCAAGUUUAUUAUGAAUAGAGAAAAUUGUAAGUAGCAAGAAUGUUCAGUAAAGUACAUGUAAGAUCUACAAACACAUUACAAUCACCAAAACACAAUUUUGUCAUCAAUCCAUCUGUGUCCUUUGUUUAAUAUGCACAUAGACCAAGGUGAGCGACACAGGCUCUUAAGAGCCUCUAGUUACCUUGUAUGCUGACUAUUAAGGGCUUUGCACAUUUGUGAAGGCUGUACGGUGACCUAUAGUUGUUAAUGUCUGUGUCAUUUUGGUCUCUUGUGGACAGUUGUCUCAUUGGCAAUCAUACCACAUCUUCUUUUUUAUACUUAAUGAUGAUUGUGUACAUGUACAUGUAUAUCUAUGAAUUCUGUCAGAUUGUGGUAUUAAAAAAGUUUUGAGUGUUUAGCACAUAUAUAUAGAAUGUCAUUGGAGUUUAGAUUAAUUUGAUUUCUGAUAAUGGCAGAGUGUUUUGAAUAUUAAUGACAUUACUUCAUAGUGCUGAUCAGAUUACCUUUAAUUGAUUACAGGUAUAUACAAUGUACAUGUACAUGUUCACUGCUACUUUUGCAGGUACUAUUUCUGUUCUAAAAAAUUAUAGUACUGGACAUUCUGUACAUGUAUUUUACAGUACUUGUCUAUUUCAAAUUUCUUAAAGUAAUGAUUUUCCAACAUGGAAUAUUGUGAUCACUGUGGGUAUUAUUUCUAUACCAAAUUUUAUUAUUUCUAUACCAAUUAUUUUAGUACAAAAAUACAGUACCUAAAAUUACAAUAAUUUUAAAGUUACAAAAUAGUACUGAAUAUUAAAAGUGGAUUUCCAGUAAUACAUAUUUUUGGUACAGUCUCAGAAAUAGUACCUAGCAGUCUAUGCAAAAGUAGAGGUGUACAUUUUUUAUGCCCACUUCCUACGAUAGUAGAGGGGCAUUAUGUUUUUCUGGUUAUCUGUGCUCCGUUCGUCCGUCCGUCUGUGGUUUUCCGUUCGUCCGUCCAGGUUAAAGUUUUUGGUCAAGUGUAGUUUUGAUGAAGCUGAAAGUCCAAAUCAACUUGAAACUUAGUACACUUGUUGCUUAUAGAUGAUCUUCUAAUUUUUAAGCCAAUUAGACUUUUGACCCCAAUUCACGGUCCACUGAACAUAGAAAAUGAAAGUGGGAGUUUCAGGUUAAAGUUUUGGUCAAGUAGUUUUUGAUGAAGCUGAAGUCCAAUCAACUUGAAACUUAGUACCUUGUUGCUUAUGAUAUAUCUUUCUAAUUUUAAUGUUAGAUAAUUACCCAAUUUCACGCUCCAUGGAUGGAUAGUGCGAGUGCAUCCGUGUAUUUUUGUAUAUGAAUAGAAUUUAAUUGUUGAAGAUUGAAAAUUUUUAGUAAAUUAAAAAUAAGGAGAUGUGGUAGGAUUGCCAAUAAUUAUAUAAGAAAAUGAUCAUGAUCAGCCACGUUCAACAUGAAGGGGAUGCACGCACUUUUAGGCCACUUUUAUUAUGACCUUCAACAAUGAACAGAACAAUACAGCUGUUAAUGAUCCUGACAAAAUGUGCAACAGUUCAAUCUAGAAAACGAGUACUAGUCAUUUUGCUAGUGAUGUUCACUUAUUGGUUGUAAAAAAAAAUCAAUUGUUUUCUCUGUUAACGUUGCAGUCUGUGCCAAACUGACUAGGGUUUGUCUGACCGAAAGAGAAAUUUGAUUUUUUUUUCUCUAUUAUGUCUGUAUGUCAACCAAAAAAUCUAAAAAUUUCUGUGAGUGUCUGACCUAAUUAUCCGAUUCACUGCUCUUGGCAAAUAUUUUUUUACAACAGUUGGUUGUGUGAAUUUGACAUAUAUCUAAGGUAAAUGAAUUUUCAGUUGUAUUCCUAUUUUUUUAUUUGGAAAACAUUUAUCAGGUUCAGGGCUUAUAUAUUUAUAAUAAUUAAUCAUGUUAAUGGAAUUUAAAUUUUCAGAAUUACAUAUUUGUAGCUCCCAAGAUGUAAGUGGAAGUGAAGCUAUACAAUUAAAUGAAUGAAUUGAUUAGAUAUACAUGUAGAGAAGACCCUAGAUCAACAGUACAUGUAACUUAAACUGGUAUGUAUUUGUUACAGUAUUUGUAGUCAAAAUGGUAUAUAACAAAGAUGCAGAAUCCUGUCAUGCCUGUGCAAAUUUAAAAAGGAGUCGACACAAACUGACAAAAUAAAAAAAAUACUAUCAAUCAACAGAUCAAUGGUAAAAGUUAAUCUGCUAUAUACAUGUAUGGAAUAGGCAUUUAGUUACCAUUUUUCAGUCCAUAUAAAUUUAUGAGAAUAUAAUUUUAUUAUCUGUAUUUCCUAGGAUUUCAAUUCUUAUUUCAUAUUGAUAUUCCCAUGUAUUAUGCUUGUUGUUUGAGGAAAAUUAUCAAAAGAGCUUGACCAAGAUUAAACAAUUACUGGUAUCAUGAAUCAUGCCAUUUUUGUCUUGUCUGCAACUGAUUGUAUAGUGUACAUGUCUGUCUGGGCAGGGUUCAUCUUACCAUGACCUGAUAUUCAUGGUUCAUUGGUCAAUAAUAAGUUUCAUAUUUUGGUCUGUUUGUUGUAUACUAUAUACAAGCUAUAAUUAAUUAAGAGAUCAACUAUAUUUGGUGUAGGUAAUGAUUGCAAGGUGCACAUGUCUGUCUGGCUUGGUUUUUCUGACCUUGAACUUGGUAUUAUUUGCUUGACAGUAUUUGUUUUAUGGGUCAUGAUUGGUUAUGUUAACUGGGUAAAUAAUAAUCACCAUCAAAUCACCAAUUGAUCAUGUCAAAGCUUAAAAUACAAUACAGUUAUCUCCUUUUAUAAGUUUGAUAAAUCAUUGGAGAUUAAACAUGUUAAAUUGAUGUAAUCUUUUUUUGCUUGACUACAAAUACAAACAUGCUGAUUUUGUUAUAUUACAGGAACUGUAGGAAGUAUUCCAAGAGUCUGAUUGCUAAGUAUGCAUUACAGGAUUUUAUUAUUGGAGCAACAUCUUAGGAGGAUAAGUGCAAAUGUAUGAAGGAAUCCUUGGGAACAAAAAGCAAUUAUAUGCAGAAGAGGAGUCUUAAACAUUAUUAACAGAGUCAAAGUAGUGGUGUAUUCAAGAAGUGUAAACCAACUGGAAUUAACUAUUGUGUAUAUUUUUUCAACCUCAAGUACUUUCAGAAUUAUAAUACAAUUCAAAUUAUUGUGUCAACAUACAUGUUACAGUAAAAAAUGAAAAUGUUUUAAAAUGAAUUUUAUAUAAAAAAA
rnacentral:lncRNA from 1 species